UACGAGGGGUGCAAGCGUUGUUCGGAAUUACUGGGCGUAAAGCGUGAGGAGGCGGCUUGUUAAGUCUGAUGUGAAAGCCCUGGGCUUAACCCAGGAACUGCAUCGGAAACUAGCAGGCUAGAGUUCGGGAGAGGGUCGUGGAAUUCUUGGUGUAGAGGUGAAAUUCGUAGAUAUCAGGAGGAACACCGGUGGCGAAGGCGGGUCACUGGGCCGCAACCUGACGCUGAGGAGCGAAAGCAUGGGGAGCGAACAGG
rnacentral:rRNA from 1 species